rnacentral:rRNA from 1 species
GCUUCCUACGGGAGGCAGCAGUGGGGAAUCUUGCGCAAUGGGCGAAAGCCUGACGCAGCCAUGCCGCGUGAAUGAUGAAGGUCUUAGGAUUGUAAAAUUCUUUCACCGGGGACGAUAAUGACGGCACCCGGAGAAGAAGCUCCGGCUAACUUCGUGCCAGCAGCCGCGGUAAUACGAAGGGGGCUAGCGUUGCUCGGAAUUACUGGGCGUAAAGGGAGCGUAGGCGGACAGUUAAGUCAGAGGUGAAAGCCCAGGGCUCAACCCUGGAAUUGCCUUUGAUACUGAUUGUCUUGAGUAUGGGAGAGGUAUGCGGAACUCCGAGUGUAGAGGUGAAAUUCGUAGAUAUUCGGAAGAACACCAGUGGCGAAGGCGGCAUACUGGCCCAUUACUGACGCUGAGGCUCGAAAGCGUGGGGAGCAAACAGGAUUAGAUACCCUGGUAGUCCACGCCGUAAACGAUGAGUGCUAGUUGUCGGCAUGCAUGCAUGUCGGUGACGCAGCUAACGCAUUAAGCACUCCGCCUGGGGAGUACGGUCGCAAGAUUAAAACUCAAAGGAAUUGACGGAAGC